AUUGAACGCUGGCGGCAGGCCUAACACAUGCAAGUCGAGCGGAUGAAGGGAGCUUGCUCCUGGAUUCAGCGGCGGACGGGUGAGUAAUGCCUAGGAAUCUGCCUGGUAGUGGGGGAUAACGUCCGGAAACGGGCGCUAAUACCGCAUACGUCCUGAGGGAGAAAGUGGGGGAUCUUCGGACCUCACGCUAUCAGAUGAGCCUAGGUCGGAUUAGCUAGUUGGUGGGGUAAAGGCCUACCAAGGCGACGAUCCGUAACUGGUCUGAGAGGAUGAUCAGUCACACUGGAACUGAGACACGGUCCAGACUCCUACGGGAGGCAGCAGUGGAAUCUUGGACAAUGGGCGAAAGCCUGAUCCAGCCAUGCCGCGUGUGUGAAGAAGGUCUUCGGAUUGUAAAGCACUUUAAGUUGGGAGGAAGGGCAGUAAGUUAAUACCUUGCUGUUUUGACGUUACCAACAGAAUAAGCACCGGCUAACUUCGUG
rnacentral:rRNA from 1 species